AUGUGGAGGCUAUAUACAGGGUAUUACGGUACAGAGUCAAUGUGGAGGCUAUAUACAGGGUAUUACGGUACAGAGUCAAUGUGGAGGCUAUAUACAGGGUAUUACGGUAUAGAGUCAAUGUGGAGGCUAUAUACAGGGUAUUACGGUAUAGAGUCAAUGUGGAGGCUAUAUACAGGGUAUUACGGUACAGAGUCAAUGUGGAGGCUAUAUACAGGGUAUUACGGUAUAGAGUCAAUGUGGAGGCUAUAUACAGGGUAUUACGGUAUAGAGUCAAUGUGGAGGCUAUAUACAGGGUAUUACGGUAUAGAGGCAAUGUGGAGGCUAUAUACAGGGUAUUACGGUAUAGAGUCAAUGUGGAGGCUAUAUACAGGGUAUUACGGUAUAGAGUCAAUGUGGAGGCUAUAUACAGGGUAUUACGGUAUAGAGUCAAUGUGGAGGCUAUAUACAGGGUAUUACGGUACAGAGUCAGUGUGGAGGCUAUAUACAGGGUAUUACGGUACAGAGUCAAUGUGGAGGUUAUAUACAGGGUAUUACGGUAUAGAGUCAAUGUGGAGGCUAUAUACAGGGUAUUACGGUACAGAGUCAGUGUGGAGGCUAUAUACAGGGUAUUACGGUAUAGAGUCAAUGUGGAGGCUAUAUACAGGGUAUUACGGUACAGAGUCAAUGUGGAGGCUAUAUACAGGGUAUUACGGUACAGAGUCAGUGUGGAGGCUAUAUACAGGGUAUUACGGUACAGAGUCAAUGUGGAGGCUAUAUACAGGGUAUUACGGUACAGAGUCAAUGUGGAGGCUAUAUACAGGGGGUACCGGUACAGAGUCAAUGUGGAGGCUAUAUACAGGGGGUACCGGUACAGAGUCAAUGUGGAGGCUAUAUAUACAGGGUAUUACGGUACAGAGUCAGUGUGGAGGCUAUAUACAGGGUAUUACGGUACAGAGUCAGUGUGGAGGCUAUAUACAGGGUAUUACGGUACAGAGUCAGUGUGGAGGCUAUAUACAGGGUAUUACGGUACAGAGUCAAUGUGGAGGCUAUAUACAGGGGGUACCGGUACAGAGUCAAUGUGGAGGCUAUAUACAGGGGGGUACCGGUACAGAGUCAAUGUGGAGGCUAUAUACAGGGGGGUACCGGUACAGAGACAAUGUGGAGGCUAUAUACAGGGGGUACCGGUACCAAGUCAAUGUGGAGGCUAUAUACAGGGGGUACUGGUACAGAGACAAUGUGGAGGCUAUAUACAAGGGGUACCAGUACAGAGUCAAUGUGUCAAGGUAA
rnacentral:lncRNA from 1 species